rnacentral:rRNA from 1 species
GUCGAGCGGUAACAGAUCCAGCUUGCUGGAUGCUGACGAGCGGCGGACGGGUGAGUAAUGCAUAGGAAUCUGCCCGAUAGUGGGGGAUAACCUGGGGAAACCCAGGCUAAUACCGCAUACGUCCUACGGGAGAAAGGGGGCUCCGGCUCCCGCUAUGGGAUGAGCCUAUGUCGGAUUAGCUAGUUGGUGAGGUAACGGCUCACCAAGGCCACGAUCCGUAGCUGGUCUGAGAGGAUGAUCAGCCACAUCGGGACUGAGACACGGCCCGAACUCCUACGGGAGGCAGCAGUGGGGAAUAUUGGACAAUGGGGGAAACCCUGAUCCAGCCAUGCCGCGUGUGUGAAGAAGGCCCUCGGGUUGUAAAGCACUUUCAGCGAGGAAGAACGCCUAACGGUUAAUACCCGCUAGGAAAGACAUCACUCGCAGAAGAAGCACCGGCUAACUCCGUGCCAGCAGCCGCGGUAAUACGGAGGGUGCAAGCGUUAAUCGGAAUUACUGGGCGUAAAGCGCGCGUAGGUGGAUUGAUAAGCCGGUUGUGAAAGCCCCGGGCUCAACCUGGGAACGGCAUCCGGAACUGUCAAGCUANAGUGCAGGAGAGGAAGGUAGAAUUCCCGGUGUA